rnacentral:rRNA from 1 species
UACGUAGGGUGCAAGCGUUGUCCGGAAUUAUUGGGCGUAAAGAGCUCGUAGGCGGUCCGUCACGUCGGGAGUGAAAACUCGGGGCUCAACCCCGAGCCUGCUUUCGAUACGGGCGGACUAGAGGUAGGUAGGGGAGAACGGAAUUCCUGGUGUAGCGGUGGAAUGCGCAGAUAUCAGGAGGAACACCGGUGGCGAAGGCGGUUCUCUGGGCCUUACCUGACGCUGAGGAGCGAAAGCGUGGGGAGCGAACAGG